CGCCUGGGAAGUACGGCCGCAAGGCUAUAACCCAAAGGAAUUGACGGGGACCCGCACAAGCAGUGGAGCGCCUGGUUUAAUUCGAUGGUCAGCGAAGAACCUCACCUAGGCUUGAACUGUAGCUGCACACUCCCAGAAACGGGAGAAUCCUUCGAGGGUGCUACAGAAGGUGCUGGCAUGGCUGUCGUCAGCUCGUGUCGUGAGAUGUAGGCUUAAGUCCCACAACGAGCCGCAACCCCUAUUCAGUGUUAUAAUUACUCUGAAGACUGCCCUGUCCAAACGGGGAGGAAGGAGGGGACGACGUCCAGUCAUCAUGUCCCUUAUGUCUAGGGCUACACAGACGCUACAAUGGGCCGGGUACAAUGGGUUGCCAAACCGCGAGGUGGAGCCAAUCCCAUCAAAGCCGGUCCCAGUUCGGAUUGCAGUCUGCAACUCGACUGCAUGAAGUUGGAAUUGCUAGUAAUCGCGAAUCAGCACGUCGCGGUGAUACGUUCUCGGGUCUUGUACACACCGCCCGUCAGGC
rnacentral:rRNA from 1 species